rnacentral:ncRNA from 1 species
CUCCCACCUGGCUGUCCGUUCAGGACGGCGGGUCACCGGUCAGGCGGCGACCAUCGUCCGUACGGACGAUGGGCCCGCCCGAUAGCCCCGCGGUUCACCGCGGCGGUGUUCCGGUAGUUCCUGGAGCCUCGCCUUGUGUCCCGUCCGGGGCAUUUUUG